rnacentral:tRNA from 2 species
UGCGAGCUGGUGCAAUCGGCAGCACAGCCGACUCUGGAUCGGUCGAUGGAGGUUCGAGUCCUCCGCUCGCAG